AUUGAACGCUGGCGGCAUGCUUUACACAUGCAAGUCGAACGGCAGCGCGGGGGCAACCCUGGCGGCGAGUGGCGAACGGGUGAGUAAUGCAUCGGAACGUAUCCUGUAAUGGGGGAUAACGUAGCGAAAGUUACGCUAAUACCGCAUACGCUCGAGAGAGGAAAGUGGGGGAUCGCAAGACCUCACGUUAUAGGAGCGGCCGAUGUCCGAUUAGCUAGUUGGUGGGGUAAAGGCCUACCAAGGCGACGAUCGGUAGCUGGUCUGAGAGGAUGAUCAGCCACACUGGGACUGAGACACGGCCCAGACUCCUACGGGAGGCAGCAGUGGGGAAUUUUGGACAAUGGGCGAAAGCCUGAUCCAGCCAUGCCGCGUGCGGGAAGAAGG
rnacentral:rRNA from 1 species